GAUGAACGCUGGCGGCGUGCCUAAUACAUGCAAGUCGAGCGAACAGGCGAGGAGCUUGCUCCUCUGACGUUAGCGGCGGACGGGUGAGUAACACGUGGAUAACCUACCUAUAAGACUGGGAUAACUUCGGGAAACCGGAGCUAAUACCGGAUAAUAUAUUGAACCGCAUGGUUCAAUAGUGAAAGACGGUUUUGCUGUCACUUAUAGAUGGAUCCGCGCCGCAUUAGCUAGUUGGUAAGGUAACGGCUUACCAAGGCAACGAUGCGUAGCCGACCUGAGAGGGUGAUCGGCCACACUGGAACUGAGACACGGUCCAGACUCCUACGGGAGGCAGCAGUAGGGAAUCUUCCGCAAUGGGCGAAAGCCUGACGGAGCAACGCCGCGUGAGUGAUGAAGGUCUUCGGAUCGGAAAACUCUGUUAUUAGGGAAGAACAAAUGUGUAAGUAACUAUGCACGUAUUGACGGUACCUAAUCAGAAAGCCACGGCUAACUACGUG
rnacentral:rRNA from 1 species